UGCCCUCCGGGUAGAUCUCCCACCCUAUGUUAUCGUUACCUUUGUAUGCGUUUGGCGGGCCGUCAGGCCCUCGGUCAGGCUACCGGCUUCGGCUGGUAAGCGCCCGCCAGAGGACCCUAAACUCUGAAUAUUANUGUCGUCUGAGUACUAUAUAAUANUUAAAACUUUCAACAACGGAUCUCUUGGUUCUGGCAUCGAUGAANAACGCAGCUGUAGAAUGCGAUAAGUAAUGAUGAAUUGCAGCAAUUCAGUGAAUCAUCNAAUCUUUGAACGACACAUUGCGCCCCUUGGUAUUCCGGGGGGCAUGCCUGUUCNAGCGUCAUUACAACCCUCAAGCCUGGCUUGGUAUUGGGCCUCGCCGUUCUGGCGGGCCUUAAAAUCANUAACAGUGUCNUCGAGGCCCUGAGCGUAAUACAUAUCCUGCGCUAUAUGCGGACUUCCACGGCCAUUAACCCUCACUUUCUAAGUUUGACCGUCUGGUAUCAGGUACGUGGAUACCCGCUGAACUUAACGUCAUAUCAAGAAUCGUGAGGAAUGUACACCUGCUUCUAACCGUCUCAUUGACAACGAUGGUGUUCCGGUCACCGCCGAUUCUUCGGCGGGAGGCUUGACCCACGAAACAAACCUUGACCUCAAGUCGGGUGAGACUACCCGCUGAACUUAAGCAUAUCA
rnacentral:rRNA from 1 species